GACGAACGCUGGCGGCGUGCUUAACACAUGCAAGUCGAGCGGUAAGGCCCUUUCGGGGGUACACGAGCGGCGAACGGGUGAGUAACACGUGGGUGACCUGCCUCUAGCUCUGGGAUAAGCCUGGGAAGCUGGGUCUAAUACCGGAUAUGACCUCGCGGUGCAUGUUGCGGGGUGGAAAGCCUUGUGCGGCUGGGGAUGGGCCCGCGGCCUAUCAGCUUGUUGGUGGGGUGAUGGCCUACCAAGGCGACGACGGGUAGCCGGCCUGAGAGGGCGACCGGCCACACUGGGACUGAGACACGGCCCAGACUCCUACGGGAGGCAGCAGUGGGGAAUCUUGCGCAAUGGGCGAAAGCCUGACGCAGCGACGCCGCGUGAGGGAUGACGGCCU
rnacentral:rRNA from 1 species